UGGGGAAUUUUGGACAAUGGGGGAAACCCUGAUCCAGCCAUCCCGCGUGUGCGAUGAAGGCCUUCGGGUUGUAAAGCACUUUUGGCAGGAAAGAAACGUCAUGGGUUAAUACCCCGUGAAACUGACGGUACCUGCAGAAUAAGCACCGGCUAACUACGUGCCAGCAGCCGCGGUAAUACGUAGGGUGCAAGCGUUAAUCGGAAUUACUGGGCGUAAAGCGUGCGCAGGCGGUUCGGAAAGAAAGAUGUGAAAUCCUAGAGCUCAACUUUGGAACUGCAUUUUUAACUACCGGGCUAGAGUGUGUCAGAGGGAGGUGGAAUUCCGCGUGUAGCAGUGAAAUGCGUAGAUAUGCGGAGGAACACCGAUGGCGAAGGCAGCCUCCUGGGAUAACACUGACGCUCAUGCACGAAAGCGUGGGGAGCAAACAGG
rnacentral:rRNA from 1 species